UGGAAACGUGAAAUGGGAGCAAGGCAGCACUCCCCUUGGUUAGGAUGGAAGAAAUCCUAAUGGACUUCUAAUCACGCUUAAGACUGUCACUGACUUUGUGGCAUCUAAUGUAUAU
ensembl:snRNA